rnacentral:rRNA from 1 species
CCUACGGGUGGCUGCAGUAGGGAAUCUUGCACAAUGGGCGAAAGCCUGAUGGAGCAACGCCGCGUGGGUGAUGAAGGUCUUCGGAUCGUAAAACUCUGUUUUUAGAGAAGUAAAGUCGUGAGAGUAACUGUUCACGUUUCUACGUUAUCUAACCAGAAAGCCACGGCUAACUACGUGCCAGCAGCCGCGGUAGUACGUAGGUGGCAAGCGUUAUCCGGAUGUAUUGGGCGUAAAGGGAGCGCAGGCGGUCUUUUAGGUCUGAUGUGAAAGCCUUCGGCUUAACCGGAGUAGUGCAUUGGAAACUGGGAGACUUGAGUGCAGAAGAGGAGAGUGGAACUCCAUGUGUAGCGGUGAAAUGCGUAGAUAUAUGGAAGAACACCAGUGGCGAAAGCGGCUGUCUGGUCUGUAACUGACGCUGAGGCUCGAAAGCGUGGGUAGCAAACAGGAUUAGAUACCCUUGUAGUC